UACGAAGGGGGGCUAGCGUUGUUCGGAAUUACUGGGCGUAAAGAGCUCGUAGGUGGUUUGUCGCGUUGUUCGUGAAAACUCACAGCUCAACUGUGGGCGUGCGGGCGAUACGGGCAGACUUGAGUACUGCAGGGGAGACUGGAAUUCCUGGUGUAGCGGUGAAAUGCGCAGAUAUCAGGAGGAACACCGGUGGCGAAGGCGGGUCUCUGGGCCGAUACUGACGCUGGAGGAGCGAAAAGCGUGGGGGAGCGAACAGG
rnacentral:rRNA from 1 species